rnacentral:rRNA from 1 species
AGGACGAACGCUGGCGGCGUGCUUAACACAUGCAAGUCGAGCGGUAAGGCCCUUUCGGGGGUACACGAGCGGCGAACGGGUGAGUAACACGUGGGUGACCUGCCCUUAGCUCUGGGAUAAGCCUGGGAAACUGGGUCUAAUACCGGAUAUGACCUCGCGAUGCAUGUCGUGGGGUGGAAAGCCUUGUGCGGCUAGGGAUGGGCCUGCGGCCUAUCAGCUUGUUGGUGGGGUGAUGGCCUACCAAGGCGACGACGGGUA